UCUUAUAACAAACAAGAAGAGAACCCUGAAGGGGCGAUGGGCUCCUAAUAUUGGUGAACGAAUACAUGAAGAUGCAAACCAUCUUCACAAGAGCAUCUCACUCUUGGCUCCUGGUGUCCACGAGUGGCACAAGAUGCUGCUGGGCAUCCAAGAGGUGUUGGACUGCAAAUCCAUUGAUGCACUGAAGAUAAUAAUGGGACGUCUACAGCAGGAUUAUUUCACACAGAGUGAGGACUUCAAGUUACUGAACAAGUUGCUGAAGUGGAAGGGUCUUUCUAAUGGCAAAGUCAACGAGGUACUGGACGCUCUUCCCGGCAGUGA